rnacentral:lncRNA from 1 species
CUCUGAAGCUUUUCCAGAAGAGGCUGCCUAUGGAGUGUUUUUAUCUGGGCCUCGGCCGGUGUCAGAUCUCUGAAUUGUUGAAGGGGUAAUGCUUCGGGCCCCCGUGCUGCAAACGGUGCUCCAUCUAACAGCCCGUUCUACUCAGUGCACGGCUUCAUAGUUCUCGCAAACAGAUCAAGGCAAGAGCGUUUCUGUGCCAGUGGAGUGGGAGAGAGCUGCCGGAGGCGUGCCGAUCACAUCAUGGAAACCGGCGCAGUUGUUCGUUUAGAAUAUGUCCUCAGGACGUCGUGAGGGCAGAGAGCCUGUAAGCGGCACUUUCUCUCACCAAAGUACCGUGUGCCCGGGUCUGGAACUCGCAAGCGUUGGCGCCACAAAAGCCAUGGCAUGCACAUCCAGAGAGCAAGACUCAGUGGUCGGGGCACCUUCUCGGUUUCCAGGGAUAUCACAGAGUCGUUGUUGUAGCCAAACCAAGCUGGUCCUCAUAAGCAGUCAAAGCGGUAUUCGAGGACGCGAAAUCCCAGUGUUCUAUUCGGUUCUGAUUUCGUGUCCCAUCUGGGUGUGGGAGUGGACCGGGUAACUCGGACAGCCGUAUCUCUAGUUGUUGUUAGUGAAAUUGGUUUGCCUAUGUAUUGUGGAGUUCUGUUGUAUACUCACGUUGAAAUAUGAGUAGUCAUGGACACUACUCAGCCCAUGGACAGGGAUAUGAGCGUAUGCACAUGCGUUCACUCGUGCACCCAACUGUAGAAUAUAUUUCCGUGCUAGCACAUUUACCAUCGAUUUCUGUCCCCUCUAUUUGGAGCGCUACCGUCAUCUACCUAAACAUUGAUCUAUGUACGAGUCGACAGGUAAAACGAUUAUAUGACAGCAUCCGGUAUGCUACACUUUUGUCUGGUGCCAACCCCUUUUUCCACCAAGCUUCCGGGAAGGACUAACCCGAGUCACGUAGCGCUACGCAGGGUAAGCCUAGUGACUGCCGCAAC